CUGGCUAGUGAUGUGAUUGGUUCAGCUUCAGGUAAAACACCCAAGCAAAAAAUAAAAUUCAGUUAUAAACAUGUUAUCAUCUUCGCGAUCGUCGGUUAUUGUUGUUAUCAUUUCUCUAUUGGGCUGCUACUUGAAUGUAUUAAAGGAUGUAACUACUUAUCAUUGUGAACAGGAUGAGGCUUAUUUAAAUAAUCUCUCACAUUGUCAUUUGAUCGUAACUAUUAUAGUAGAUACAAUAUGUUUACAUUACAUUGCCAUAGCUUUGGACCGGUAACAUCUGUAACCAAGAUAAACAUUUCAGAUAUGAAUAAAGGAUCAAAACUCGUCAGUUCUCUUAAUUUACAUUGGUGAGAGUCCCUAUAAUUUACGAUGGCACGGUAAAUUUAAAACAAAAACUGAUUGAAUAUAAAAACGUUUCAGCAAUUUAUCUAAUGUCAAACGUGGUACUAUAAAUUCACCAAGUACAUUAGAAGUUUCAAAGUUGGUGUAUUGUACUUAGCAGUGGAUGAGCAGAUGUGAAAGUGUGAAAGAAAUUUCUAGAUCCGAAUCUGAUAUUGAAAAUGUUUCGAAAUAACGUAUACCAUCUUGGAGUUUAAGUCUCGAAUCUGUGGAUAAAAGUUAAUAAAUUAAAAGGUAAUUAAAGCCUAGUGAACAUGACUUCAUUUGGGCGAGUUACGCGUGCGUAGUGAUUUCGCUUUGUUUGACCAAAUAUUUGCUGUAAAUUUGCCAGUUUUACAAAUAACAUUCACAUAAACUGAGCACUCUAACUUUAUUGUUAUCAAAUUAUUUAUUAUUUCACAAAACGCGAAACAAAAGUCCAGUGUAAUGCUACUGAACGUUCUAAGUUUGUGUGUAUAGUUUACUAUUUUGAUGUGUAACUAAAACCAAUAAGUGGACAAUCCAUAUAUUUACUCUUUGAAUUAUUUUUUAUACUGAUAC